rnacentral:rRNA from 1 species
UACAGAGGUCCCAAGCGUUGUUCGGAUUCACUGGGCGUUAAGGGUGCGUAGGCGGUCGGGUAAGUCUGAUGUGAAAUCUCACAGCUUAACUGUGAAACUGCAUUGGAUACUAUCCGGCUCGAGGAAUGGAGGGGAGACUGGAAUACUUGGUGUAGCAGUGAAAUGCGUAGAGAUCGGGAGGAACACCAGAGGCGAAAGCGGCGACCUGGACAGGUACUGACACUCAACUGCGAAAGCGUGGGGAGCAAACAGG